AGUGAACGCUGGCGGUAGGCCUAACACAUGCAAGUCGAACGGCAGCACAGUAAGAGCUUGCUCUUACGGGUGGCGAGUGGCGGACGGGUGAGGAAUACAUCGGAAUCUACUUUUUCGUGGGGGAUAACGUAGGGAAACUUACGCUAAUACCGCAUACGACCUACGGGUGAAAGCAGGGGAUCUUCGGACCUUGCGCGAUUGAAUGAGCCGAUGUCGGAUUAGCUAGUUGGCGGGGUAAAGGCCCACCAAGGCGACGAUCCGUAGCUGGUCUGAGAGGAUGAUCAGCCACACUGGAACUGAGACACGGUCCAGACUGCUACGGGAGGCAGCAGUGGGGAAUAUUGGACAAUGGGCGCAAGCCUGAUCCAGCCAUACCGCGUGGGAGAAGAAGGCCUUCGGGUUGUAAAGCCCUUUUGUUGGGAAAGAAAAGCAGCAGGUUAAUACCCCGCUGUUCUGACGGUACCCAAAGAAUAAGCACCGGCUAACUUCGUG
rnacentral:rRNA from 1 species